GGUUUCAAGGCCGAGAGCUGAUGACGAGUCGUCUUUUAGAUGACGAAGUGGUUGAUGCCAUGCUUCCAAGAAAAGCUUCUAAGCUUCAGGUAACCAGGAACCGUACCCCAAACCGACACAGGUGGUCGGGUAGAGAAUACCAAGGCGCUUGAGAGAACUCGGGUGAAGGAACUAGGCAAAAUGGCACCGUAACUUCGGGAGAAGGUGCGCCGGCUAGGGUGAAGGAUUUACUCCGUAAGCUCUGGCUGGUCGAAGAUACCAGGCCGCUGCGACUGUUUAUUAAAAACACAGCACUCUGCAAACACGAAAGUGGACGUAUAGGGUGUGACGCCUGCCCGGUGCCGGAAGGUUAAUUGAUGGGGUUAGCGCAAGCGAAGCUCUUGAUCGAAGCCCCGGUAAACGGCGGCCGUAACGAUAACGGUCCUAAGGUAGCGAAAUUCCUUGUCGGGUAAGUUCCGACCUGCACGAAUGGCGUAACGAUGGCGGCGCUGUCUCCACCCGAGACUCAGUGAAAUUGAAAUCGCUGUGAAGAUGCAGUGUAUCCGCGGCUAGACGGAAAGACCCCGUGAACCUUUACUGUAGCUUUGCACUGGACUUUGAGCCUGCUUGUGUAGGAUAGGUGGGAGGCUUUGAAGCGUGGACGCCAGUUCGCGUGGAGCCAUCCUUGAAAUACCACCCUGGCAUGCUUGAGGUUCUAACUCUGGUCCGUAAUCCGGAUCGAGGACAGUGUAUGGUGGGCAGUUUGACUGGGGCGGUCUCCUCCUAAAGAGUAACGGAGGAGUACGAAGGUGCGCUCAGACCGGUCGGAAAUCGGUCGCAGAGUAUAAAGGCAAAAGCGCGCUUGACUGCGAGACAGACACGUCGAGCAGGUACGAAAGUAGGUCUUAGUGAUCCGGUGGUUCUGUAUGGAAGGGCCAUCGCUCAACGGAUAAAAGGUACUCCGGGGAUAACAGGCUGAUACCGCCCAAGAGUUCAUAUCGACGGCGGUGUUUGGCACCUCGAUGUCGGCUCAUCACAUCCUGGGGCUGAAGCCGGUCCCAAGGGUAUGGCUGUUCGCCAUUUAAAGUGGUACGCGAGCUGGGUUUAGAACGUCGUGAGACAGUUCGGUCCCUAUCUGCCGUGGACGUUUGAGAUUUGAGAGGGGCUGCUCCUAGUACAAGAGGACCGGAGUGGACGAACCUCUGGUGUUCCGGUUGUCACGCCAGUGGCAUUGCCGGGUAGCUAUGUUCGGAAAAGAUAACCGCUGAAAGCAUCUAAGCGGGAAACUUGCCUCAAGAUGAGAUCUCACUGGGAACUUGAUUCCCCUGAAGGGCCGUCGAAGACUACGACGUUGAUAGGCUGGGUGUGUAAGCGUUGUGAGGCGUUGAGCUAACCAGUACUAAUUGCCCGUGAGGCUUGAUC
rnacentral:rRNA from 1 species